rnacentral:rRNA from 1 species
UACGAAGGGGCUAGCGUUGCUCGGAAUCACUGGGCGUAAAGGGUGCGUAGGCGGGUCUUUAAGUCAGGGUGAAAUCCUGGAGCUCAACUCCAGAACUGCCUUUGAUACUGAAGAUCUUGAGUUCGGGAGAGGUGAGUGGAACUGCGAGUGUAGAGGUGAAAUUCGUAGAUAUUCGCAAGAACACCAGUGGCGAAGGCGGCUCACUGGCCCGAUACUGACGCUGAUGCACGAAAGCGUGGGGAGCAAACAGG